rnacentral:rRNA from 6 species
UUAAGUUAUUAAGGGCGCACGGUGGAUGCCUUGGCACUAGAAGCCGACGAAGGACGUUACUAACGACGAUAUGCUUUGGGGAGCUGUAAGUAAGCUUUGAUCCAGAGAUUUCCGAAUGGGGAAACCCAGCACGAGUUAUGUCGUGUUAUCGAUAUGUGAAUACAUAGCAUAUCUGAAGGCAGACGCGGAGAACUGAAACAUCUUAGUACCCGCAGGAAGAGAAAGAAAAAUCGAUUCCCUGAGUAGCGGCGAGCGAAACGGGAAGAGCCCAAACCAACGAGCUUGCUUGUUGGGGUUGUAGGACACUCUAUACGGAGUUACAAAAGAACAGACUAGACGAAUCAUCUGGAAAGAUGAAUCAAAGAAGGUAAUAAUCCUGUAGUCGAAAGUUUGUUCACUCUUGAGUGGAUCCUGAGUACGACGGAACACGAGAAAUUCCGUCGGAAUCUGGGAGGACCAUCUCCCAAGGCUAAAUACUCUCUAGUGACCGAUAGUGAACCAGUACCGUGAGGGAAAGGUGAAAAGUACCCCGGAAGGGGAGUGAAAUAGAACUUGAAACCGUGUGCUUACAAGUAGUCAGAGCCCGUUAAUGGGUGAUGGCGUGCCUUUUGUAGAAUGAACCGGCGAGUUACGAUUUGAUGCAAGGUUAAGCAGUGAAUGUGGAGCCGUAGCGAAAGCGAGUCUGAAUAGGGCGUUGAGUAUUUGGUCGUAGACCCGAAACCAGGUGAUCUACCCAUGACCAGGUUGAAGUUCAGGUAACACUGAAUGGAGGACCGAACCGACUUACGUUGAAAAGUGAGCGGAUGAGUUGUGGGUAGCGGAGAAAUUCCAAUCGAACCUGGAGAUAGCUGGUUCUCUCCGAAAUAGCUUUAGGGCUAGCCUCAAGUGAUGAUUAUUGGAGGUAGAGCACUGUUUGGACGAGGGGCCCUUAUCGGGUUACCGAAUUCAGACAAACUCCGAAUGCCAAUCAAUUUAACUUGGGAGUCAGAACGCGGGUGAUAAGGUCCGUGUUCGAAAGGGAAACAGCCCAGACCACCAGCUAAGGUCCCAAAAUAUAUGUUAAGUGGAAAAGGAUGUGGCGUUGCCCAGACAACUAGGAUGUUGGCUUAGAAGCAGCCAUCAUUUAAAGAGUGCGUAAUAGCUCACUAGUCGAGUGACACUGCGCCGAAAAUGUACCGGGGCUAAACAUAUUACCGAAGCUGUGGAUUGUCCGUAAGGACAAUGGUAGGAGAGCGUUCUAAGGGCGUUGAAGCAUGAUCGCAAGGACAUGUGGAGCGCUUAGAAGUGAGAAUGCCGGUGUGAGUAGCGAAAGACGGGUGAGAAUCCCGUCCACCGAUUGACUAAGGUUUCCAGAGGAAGGCUCGUCCGCUCUGGGUUAGUCGGGUCCUAAGCUGAGGCCGAUAGGCGUAGGCGAUGGAUAACAGGUUGAUAUUCCUGUACCACCAUUAUUCGUUUUAAGCGAUGGGGGGACGCAGUAGGAUAGGCGAAGCGUACGAUUGGAUUGUACGUCCAAGCAGUGAGAUUGAGUGUUAGGCAAAUCCGGCACUCUUAAGAUUGAGCUGUGAUGGGGAGAGGAAAUUGUUUCCUCGAGUCGUUGAUUUCACACUGCCAAGAAAAGCCUCUAGCUAGAAUUGUGGUGCCCGUACCGCAAACCGACACAGGUAGUCAAGAUGAGAAUUCUAAGGUGAGCGAGCGAACUCUCGUUAAGGAACUCGGCAAAAUGACCCCGUAACUUCGGGAGAAGGGGUGCUCUUUAGGGUUAACGCCCAGGAGAGCCGCAGUGAAUAGGCCCAAGCGACUGUUUAUCAAAAACACAGGUCUCUGCUAAACCGUAAGGUGAUGUAUAGGGGCUGACGCCUGCCCGGUGCUGGAAGGUUAAGAGGAGUGGUUAGCUUCUGCGAAGCUACGAAUCGAAGCCCCAGUAAACGGCGGCCGUAACUAUAACGGUCCUAAGGUAGCGAAAUUCCUUGUCGGGUAAGUUCCGACCCGCACGAAAGGCGUAACGAUUUGGGCACUGUCUCAACGAGAGACUCGGUGAAAUCAUAGUACCUGUGAAGAUGCAGGUUACCCGCGACAGGACGGAAAGACCCCGUGGAGCUUUACUGUAGUCUGAUAUUGAAAUUCGGCACAGCUUGUACAGGAUAGGUAGGAGCCUGAGAUACGUGAGCGCUAGCUUACGUGGAGGCGUUGGUGGGAUACUACCCUCGCUGUGUUGGAUUUCUAACCCGCACCAUUUAUCAUGGUGGGAGACAGUGUCAGAUGGGCAGUUUGACUGGGGCGGUCGCCUCCUAAAGAGUAACGGAGGCGCUCAAAGGUUUCCUCAGAAUGGUUGGAAAUCAUUCAUAGAGUGUAAAGGCAUAAGGAAGCUUGACUGCGAGACUUACAAGUCGAGCAGGGUCGAAAGACGGACUUAGUGAUCCGGUGGUUCCGCAUGGAAGGGCCAUCGCUCAACGGAUAAAAGCUACCCCGGGGAUAACAGGCUUAUCUCCCCCAAGAGUUCACAUCGACGGGGAGGUUUGGCACCUCGAUGUCGGCUCAUCGCAUCCUGGGGCUGUAGUCGGUCCCAAGGGUUGGGCUGUUCGCCCAUUAAAGCGGUACGCGAGCUGGGUUCAGAACGUCGUGAGACAGUUCGGUCCCUAUCCGUCGUGGGCGUAGGAAAUUUGAGAGGAGCUGUCCUUAGUACGAGAGGACCGGGAUGGACAUACCUCUGGUGUACCAGUUGUCGUGCCAACGGCAUCGCUGGGUAGCUAUGUAUGGACGGGAUAAGUGCUGAAAGCAUCUAAGCAUGAAGCCCCCCUCAAGAUGAGAUUUCCCAACUUCGGUUAUAAGAUCCCUCAAAGAUGAUGAGGUUAAUAGGUUCGAGGUGGAAGCAUAGCGAUAUGUGCAGCUGACGAAUACUAAUCGAUCGAAGACUUAAUCAA